rnacentral:rRNA from 1 species
GACGAACGCUGGCGGCGUGCCUAAUACAUGCAAGUAGAACGCUGAAGAGAGGAGCUUACUCUUCUUGGAUGAGUUGCGAACGGGUGAGUAACGCGUAGGUAACCUGCCUUGUAGCGGGGGAUAACUAUUGGAAACGAUAGCUAAUACCGCAUAACAAUGGAUGACACAUGUCAUUUAUUUGAAAGGGGCAAUUGCUCCACUACAAGAUGGACCUGCGUUGUAUUAGCUAGUAGGUGAGGUAAUGGCUCACCUAGGCGACGAUACAUAGCCGACCUGUGAGGGGGAUCAGACACACUGGGACUGAGACACGGCCCAGACUCCGUCGGGAGGCAGCAGUAGGGAAUCUUCGGCAAAGGGGGCAACCCUGGACGAGCAACGCCGCAGGAGUGAAGAAGGUGUUCGGAUCGGAAAGCUCUGUUGUAAGUCAAGAACGGGUGUGAGAGUGGAAAGUUCACACUGUGACGGUAGCUUACCAGAAAGGGACGGCUAACUACGUG